rnacentral:rRNA from 1 species
UACGGGGGGGGUAAGCGUUAAUCGGAAUUACUGGGCGUAAAGCGUGCGCAGGCGGUUUUGUAAGUCAGAUGUGAAAUCCCCGGGCUUAACCUGGGAACUGCGUUUGAAACUACAAGGCUAGAGUGUGGCAGAGGGGGGUGGAAUUCCACGUGUAGCAGUGAAAUGCGUAGAGAUGUGGAGGAACACCGAUGGCGAAAGCAGCCCCCUGGGUUAACACUGACGCUCAGGCACGAAAGCGUGGGGAGCAAACAGG